rnacentral:lncRNA from 1 species
CUUGAUGUUAGGACCCUGAGUUUCUGUGGCCACUGCCACCACCAGGGUAGUCUAUGAUGCCUGCCACAUCUUCAUACAUGCAGAGAGAGAGAGAGAGAGAGAGAGAGAGAGAGAGGUGUAUUAUCAUCAUCUGUUGCAGAGUAAUCAUAGAUAUUAUGCUGUUCUCUUCCCUAGCAUUACCCCUUUGUGCCCACUGUGAUGGAUGGAGUGCUGCUGCCCAAGACUCCUGAGGAGAUUCUGCUGAAAAGAACUUCAGCACCAUGCCCUACAUGGUAGGAAUCAACAAGCAGGAGUUUGGCUGGAUCAUUCCAAUGGAACCCUAAUGGGGAGGGACUGCCCCACUGGCCAGAGUAUGACCAAAAGGAAGGAUAUCUUGAGAUUGGCACCACCACCCAGGCAGCCCAGAGACUGAAGGACAAAGAAGUUGCUUUCUGGACUGAGGUUCAGGCCAAGAAGGCAGUGGAGAAGCCAUCCCAGGAUGAACACGUAGAGCUCUGCAUGGAAAGCCUAGCUAGCCUUGAGAGCCUGGAGCAGUCAGCACAGGUGUAUUCAAAGAAGGUGUUUGUUGAUCAAAGCUACAUAUUAUUGUACAUCCUGAACAAUUUUUUAUUGGCACUGGGAAGAGUCCAAGGAUGGGUAAUGUUUGUGCUGUGAUAAAUAUAGGGAGAUAAAUAUUCUUUUUGAACAAAAUCAGUCUGUGUCAUCAUG